rnacentral:rRNA from 1 species
CCUAACACAUGCAAGUCGAACGGUAACAGGAAGGAGCUUGCUUCUUUGCUGACGAGUGGCGGACGGGUGAGUAAUGUCUGGGAAACUGCCUGAUGGAGGGGGAUAACUACUGGAAACGGUAGCUAAUACCGCAUAACGUCGCAAGACCAAAGAGGGGGACCUUCGGGCCUCUUGCCAUCGGAUGUGCCCAGAUGGGAUUAGCUAGUAGGUGGGGUAACGGCUCACCUAGGCGACGAUCCCUAGCUGGUCUGAGAGGAUGACCAGCCACACUGGAACUGAGACACGGUCCAGACUCCUACGGGAGGCAGCAGUGGGGAAUAUUGCACAAUGGGCGCAAGCCUGAUGCAGCCAUGCCGCGUGUAUGAAGAAGGCCUUCGGGU